UACGAAGGGGGCUAGCGUUGCUCGGAAUCACUGGGCGUAAAGCGCACGUAGGCGGCUUUCUAAGUCAGGGGUGAAAUCCUGGAGCUCAACUCCAGAACUGCCUUUGAUACUGGAGAGCUUGAGUCCGGAAGAGGUGAGUGGAACUCCGAGUGUAGAGGUGAAAUUCGUAGAUAUUGGGAAGAACACCGGUGGCGAAGGCGGCUCACUGGCUCGUAUCUGACGCUCAGGCGCGACAGCGUGGGGAUCAAACAGG
rnacentral:rRNA from 1 species